AUAAGGCAGCUCACGUUAAUAACCCCUAAACAAAGGAUUAAACUAAAUGAAACUCCUGCCAGAAUGUCUUUGGUUGGGGCGACCGCGGGGAAAAACUUAACCCCCAUGUGGAAAAGGAGGACACCUCCUACAACCAAGAGUUACCACUCCAAGUAACAGAAUUUCUGACCAAAAUGAUCCGGCAAAGCCGAUCAACGGACCG
rnacentral:rRNA from 1 species